rnacentral:rRNA from 2 species
UUGACCUCAAAUCGGGUGAGACUACCCGCUGAACUUAAGCAUAUCAAUAG